CCCUUAGAUGUUCUGGACCGCACACGCGCUACACUGAAGGAGGCAGCGUGUACUCCUGGAUCGAAAGAUUUGGGUAACCCGCGAAUCUCCUUCGUGCUAGGGAUUGAGGUUUGCAAUUAUCCUUCAUGAACGAGGAAUUCCCAGUAAGUGCAAGUCAUAAGCUUGCGCUGACUACGUCCCUGCCCUUUGUACACACCGCCCGUCGCUACUACCGAUUGAAUGAUUUAGUGAGGACUUCGGACUGGGACCGAUGCGGCUUUCGGGCUGCGUCGGUAUUCUGGAAAGAUGUCCAAACUGUAUCAUUUAGAGGAAGUAAAANUCGUAACA
rnacentral:rRNA from 1 species